rnacentral:misc_RNA from 1 species
UGAAUUGCGGGGGCGGUGGAAGCUGUGGUACAUGCAUAGUGGAGAUAAUUGAUGGCAAGGAUCUCCUAAAUGAAAGAACAGAUACUGAAAAGCGAUAUUUGAAGAAGAAACCUGAAUCUUGGAGGCUGGCUUGCCAAACUAUUGUGGGAAACAAGGAGAACUCCGGGAAGGUUAUAGUCCGAAGGCUGCCCCAGUCAAGGUAGACACUGCGGACGUUAUAAGCUCGGACAAAAUACA